AUUGAACGCUGGCGGCAGGCCUAACACAUGCAAGUCGAGCGGAGCGGCGGACGGGUGAGUAAUGCCUAGGAAUCUGCCUGGUAGUGGGGGAUAACGCCCGGAAACGGGCGCUAAUACCGCAUACUAUCAGAUGAGCCUAGGUAGGAUUAGCUAGUGGGUGGGGUAAAGGCCGACCAAGGGGACGAUCCGUAACUGGUCUGAGAGGAUGAUCAGUCUCACUGGAACUGAGACACGGUCCAGACUCCCCCGGGAGGCAGCAGUUGGGAAUAUUGUGCAAUGGGCGAAAGCCUGAUCCAGCCAUGCCGCGUGUGUGAAGAAGGUCUUCGGAUUGUAAAGCACUGUAGGUUGGGAGGCGUUACCAACAGAAUAAGCACCGGCUAACUUCGUGCCAGCAGCGGCGGUAAUAC
rnacentral:rRNA from 1 species